GUCAGGAGUGCUGUUUGCUGCUCUUGCCAGGGGCCCUGUGAGUCAGGCAGGAGCAAAGGGGGUCCAGGCAGGCACUCCUAGUGGGAGAGGUUUGGUGUGUUCAGGAGUACCUCUCCAGAGAAAGCCAGACCCACCAGCACAUUGGAUGUGCCAGAGACUCCUCUCCCAGCAGCUUGGCCAGCACAGGAGACUGGAAGGACACUGGCUGCA